GGGUGCAGCUCAGUGGUAGAGCAUUUGCCCAGCAUGCACAGGGCCCUGGAUUUGACCCCCAGAGCUCCCC
rnacentral:tRNA from 1 species